UGGAAGUGUCUGUACUAACAGGAACGUUGAGUAUGUGAAAAAGCUAUAUGUUUGUAAGAAGGGAAAGACUAUUGAGGAGGGACAUAGGCGUAUUCAGUCUCAUAAGAUGGUCCCUGCAAGAUAAUUUGUUCUUUUGUCAGGAGGAAACAUAGGAUGCUUCUCAGCAGGAUUCGGAUCAAUAUUAUCUAUACCUACACGAUUUAAGUGGAUUUGACUUUUAUGAAAAGCCUAAUGACUUUAUUGUGUCUAGAAUUUAUAGAACAUGGCGCGAUUGCAUUUCACCCACCAAAUUGCAAGUGUUUUUCUCAUGUCACGGCUGAAUGGACUCUCAUUGGCAGACUUUUGCACCUGACCCAAACCCAAUAGUCAAAUCUCUUUCAUCUGGUGAUCUCUGAUUGGCG
rnacentral:lncRNA from 1 species